AAGACCUUGCGCUUUUGGAGCGGCCGAUGCCUGAUUAGCUAGUUGGUGGGGUAAUGGCCUACCAAAGCUUCGAUCAGUAGCUGGUCUGAGAGGACGGCCAGCCACACUGGGACUGAGACACGGCCCAGACUCCUACGGGAGGCAGCAGUGGGGAAUUUUGGACAAUGGGGGCAACCCUGAUCCAGCCAUGCCGCGUGAGUGAAGAAGGCCUUCGGGUUGUAAAGCUCUUUCAGCCGGAACGAAACGGUUACGGUUAAUACCCGUGACUACUGACGGUACCGGAAGAAGAAGCACCGGCUAACUACGUGCCAYCAGCCGCGGUAAUACGUAGGGUGCGAGCGUUAAUCGGAAUUACUGGGCGUAAAGCGUGCGCAGGUGGUUUUGUAAGUCAGAUGUGAAAGCCCCGGGCUCAACCUGGGAACU
rnacentral:rRNA from 1 species